AUGGUUGAGGUCAUUGAAACCCCAGAAUCACAAAACACCAAAGUCAUUCCUUCACCUAAAGACAAAGAUGUGAAUGAUUUUGACACACCCAACCCUUUGAUCUUACACCCAUCUGAUACACCAGGGCUCAAACUGGUUAGUACACUGCUGGACGGAAACAACUAUGGAGAAUGGAGCCGAGCUAUGUGCCUUAGUCUCAGCGCCAAGAACAAGAUAGGACUGAUUGACGGUACAAUAAAACCACCUUCACGCACUGAUCCAAGGUUUCCUAUGUGGAAGUGUUGCAAUGACAUGGUGUUAUCAUGGAUCGUUCACUCAAUUCAACCAAGCAUUGCAUGUGGAGUGAUCUUCUCUGAUACGGCAUUUGGAGUGUGGAGAGAUCUCCAUGAUUUAUUCUCUCAAGGAGAUGAUUCAAGGAUUUAUCAAAUUCGGCAAGAGAUCGCCGAAUGUCGUCAAGGCCAGCAAUCUGCUUCUAUCUAUUACACUAAACUCAAAGCUCUUUGGGAUGAAUUAUCCUCUUACCAGGAACCUCUUGCUUGUAGUUGUGAUGCUAUGCAGAUGUUGUUUGACCGGGAGGAGAAAGAGAGAGUCAUGCAAUUCCUCAUGGGGUUGAAUGAAUCUUACUCAACUAUUCGCGGGUCAAUCUUGAUGAUGAGUCCUCUUCCAAACACAAGGAAGGUUCAUGGUUUGAUCCUUCAACAUGAGAGGCAGAUGGAGGCGGCAGCUCGUCGAGAUAUCCCACAAACAUCUCAUGCUAUGCAGGCUGUGAGGACAUCAGAUCCACCAAAAUCUUCCUUCUUCCGCAAACCAUUGAAAUGCACGUAUUGUGAGGAAGACACUCAUUUGGUGGAUCGCUGCUUUUACCUGAAAGGGUUUCCAGUGGGCCACAAAUGGCAUGGCAAGAAUGUGAAGCCCAGAAACAAAAGAGGUUCAGCCCACAACAUUGAGUUGAAGAAGGAAUCCACAAAUGAAAGCCCAACCCUCACAGCUAAUGAAUACAAGCAAAUCAUGGCCAUGCUGCACGAAAAGAACGGUAAUAAUCAACCAUUCGCAAAUGCGACAGGUAUAUUCACACCCAAUUGCAAAGAGAUAAAUAGUGAUAUUCAUUCGACGUUAUGUUGGAUUGUGGAUAGUGGGGCAACUGAUCACGUCUCAUAUUUGUCACCCACUCACAAUAAGAUAAGAACAACCCAUGAUUUUGUUGGUUUACCUAAUGGAGGACAAGCUGAAAUUGAAAGUACUGGGUCUAUCAAAUUAUCACAAGAAUUAUCUCUUGAUGGAGUUUUGCAUGACGUGGAUACGAAGAGGACGAUUGGCCUGGGCAAGCAUUUUAAUGGGCUCUAUUACCUCACACCACAACAGAACCCUCACCUUGCCAAUCAUAUCUCUCGCACCUCCAUCCUAUGGCACCAACGUCUUGGGCAUCCAUCUACUGCACCUCUCCAUUAUCUCUCUAAAUCGCCGUCGGGCCCGGCUUCUUCGGCGUCGUCAUCACCGCCCGACGCCACCCUUCCACAGUCGGCAGAUCCGGUGCCACCCCAGCCUUCCCUUGUCUCUUCGCCUCCGCUCUCGCCCACUGCUUCUUCUCCUUCCUUGUUGCCAUCCCCGUUCCCUCAGCCGCCACCAUCACAGCCACAAAUUUCGUCCUCGUCACCUUCCAGUGCUGCCUCCCCACAACCCACUGUUCUUCGUCGUUCCACUCGCCUCCACCAACCACCUCCCUAUCUUCGUGACUACAAGACCCACCAUGCUACCCUGCUCGGCCCUGCUGCCUCUUCCUCCACGUCCGGCACCCGCUAUCCAUUGCAACGGUAUGUCUCUUAUUCUGGGUUGUCUGGUGCUUACCGCUCUUUUGUGCAUAAUAUCUCCAAGUUGGUCGAGCCAGCAAAUUAUACACAGGCCAGUCAUGAUCCUCAGUGGAUUGCAGCAAUGAAUUCUGAGAUUCGGGCCCUUGAGGAUAAUAACACAUGGUCCAUGGUUCCCCUCCCUCCUGGUCAGCGACCCAUUGGAUGCAAAUGGGUUUUCAAGAUCAAAUAUCAUGCUGAUGGUUCCAUCGAGCGCUACAAAGCUCGUCUUGUCGCCAAAGGUUACACUCAACGUGAGGGAAUCGAUUACAAAGACACUUUUGCUCCGGUCGCCAAACUGAUCACUGUCCGUUGUCUCCUGUCUGUGGCUGCGGUUCGAAAUUGGCCUUUGCACCAGAUGGAUGUCUAGAAUGCCUUCCUUCAUGGUGAACUCCUUGAGGAAGUAUACAUGCUUCCUCCACCUGGUUACUGUCGACAGGGGGAGAAUGAAGUUUGUCGACUCCACAAGUCGCUUUACGGACUUAAACAAGCGUCCCGUAGCUGGUUUCAACGUUUCUCUUCAGCUAUCCAAGAAAUUGGUUUUCAACAAUCCCGAGCUGAUUAUUCUUUAUUCACACAGGUUCGUGGAGAUUUCAUCACUGUGGUGUUGUUGUAUGUUGAUGAUAUGGUCAUAACAGGGAACAAUGAGAAGGCUAUCAAUGAUCUCAAAGUCUUCCUCAACAGCUGUUUUAAAAUCAAAGAUCUUGGACCUCUCAAAUACUUCCUUGGCAUUGAGGUGGCACGAUCAAAGGCUGGAAUCUCUGUUUGUCAGCGAAAGUACACUUUAGAUAUCUUGGAGGAAGUUGGCUUACUUGGAGUAAAACCUGCAAAAGUGCCUAUGGAACCGGAUUUGGUACUGACAGAAAAAGGGAGUGAUAGCCUCAAAGAUCCUACUCGAUAUCGACGGUUGAUUGGGAAAUUAAUUUAUCUCACAAUCACUCGGCCGGAUAUCACAUACUCUGUGAACACUCUUAGCCAAUUUAUGCAAGACCCCAAGCUACAUCAUUUCAAGGCAGCCCUUCGACUUCUUCAAUACUUGAAAACAGCUCCAGGACAAGGUCUAUUAUUUCCUUCAAACAGCCAAUUGCAUUUGAUUGGAUAUUGUGAUGCUGAUUGGGCAAGGUGUCCUGUUACACGCCGGUCAGUUACCGGGUAUUGUAUUUUCCUUGGUGGAUCACUUGUGUCAUGGAAAAGUAAAAAACAAGUCACGGUGUCAAGGUCCUCUGCUGAGGCUGAAUAUCGUUCAAUGGCCUCAGUUACAUGUGAACUAACUUGGCUGAGGUACCUGUUGAAGGAUUUGUGUGUACCUCAUUCGGCACCAGCAAGGCUGUUUUGUGACAACCAAGCGGCUCUGCAUAUCACUGCAAACCCGGUUUAUCAUGAGCGAAUGAAGCAUAUAGAACUUGAUUGUCAUACAGUUCGUGAGAGGAUUAAAAAAGGUGAAAUCAGAACAGCAUAUGUGCAAACUGGAGAACAGAUUGCAGACUUAUUCACAAAGCCCUUGCGAGCACCAAUUUUUCACAUGCAUCUUAGCAAGUUGGGUGUUAUUGACAUACACACUCCAACUUGA